rnacentral:lncRNA from 1 species
UCACAGACCUACAGCAAGGUGUGUACAGGAGCUCCAAAGUAGCUAUAGAAGUAGCCUGAUUCAGUACAAUUGCAUAUGAAAAACCAGAUUUGGAAGUUUUGGAGGAGGUCAAAAGUAUGGAUGAUGAAUAUGAUGAUGACUUUGAUGUUGGUCAUAUGAACCAAAGUUUCUAUGACAAUGAAAUGGAGGAAAAUCAACCAAUACAGACACAGGGAAUGCAGAUAUCCUUGAUUCAGAUGAUGAAGAGAGCAGCAAUUGCAUGUUGUACAAUAUAGUAAGAAGCUCCUAACAAAAGAGGAAGACAAGAGCAGCGACAAGAAUGACCUACCAGACAGGAAAGGAAAGGACACAUGAAAGUGAAAAAGAUGGGGAGGGGACAGAGGAAUCAUAACAGCCACAAAGCAGAAUGAAGAGUACUACAUGCCCAG